GACGAACGCUGGCGGCGUGCUUAACACAUGCAAGUCGAACGGAAAGGCCCUGCUUUUGUGGGGUGCUCGAGUGGCGAACGGGUGAGUAACACGUGAGUAACCUGCCCUUGACUUUGGGAUAACUUCAGGAAACUGGGGCUAAUACCGGAUAGGAGCUCCUGCUGCAUGGUGGGGGGUGGAAAGUUUCGGCGGUUGGGGAUGGACUCGCGGCUUAUCAGCUUGUUGGUGGGGUAGUGGCUUGCCAAGGCUUUGACGGGUAGCCGGCCUGAGAGGGUGACCGGCCACAUUGGGCCUGAGAUACGGCCCAGACUCCUACGGGAGGCAGCAGUGGGGAAUAUUGCACAAUGGGCGGAAGCCUGAUGCAGCAACGCCGCGUGCGGGAUGACGGCCUUCGGGUUGUAAACCGCUUUCGCCUGUGACGAAGCGUGAGUGACGGUAAUGGGUAAAGAAGCACCGGCUAACUACGUG
rnacentral:rRNA from 1 species